GACGAACGCUGGCGGCGUGCUUAACACAUGCAAGUCGAACGGAAAGGCCCUGCUGUUGUGGGGUGCUCGAGUGGCGAACGGGUGAGUAACACGUGAGUAACCUGCCCUUGACUUUGGGAUAACUUCAGGAAACUGGGGCUAAUACCGGAUAGGAGCUCCUGCUGCAUGGGGGGGGUGGGAAAGUUUCGGCGGUUGGGGAUGGACUCGCGGCUUAUCAGCUUGUUGGUGGGGUAGUGGCUUACCAAGGCUUUGACGGGUAGCCGGCCUGAGAGGGUGACCGGCCACAUUGGGACUGAGAUACGGCCCAGACUCCUACGGGAGGCAGCAGUGGGGAAUAUUGCACAAUGGGCGGAAGCCUGAUGCAGCAACGCCGCGUGCGGGAUGACGGCCUUCGGGUUGUAAACCGCUUUCGCCUGUGACGAAGCGUGAGUGACGGUAAUGGGUAAAGAAGCACCGGCUAACUACGUG
rnacentral:rRNA from 1 species